GACGAACGCUGGCGGCGUGCUUAACACAUGCAAGUCGAACGAUGAAGCCGGAGCUUGCUCUGGUGAAUUAGUGGCGAACGGGUGAGUAACACGUGAGUAACCUGCCCUUGACUCUGGGAUAACUGCUAGAAAUGGUAGCUAAUACCGGAUACGACCCUCGGAGGCAUCUUCAGGGGGUGGAAAGAAUUUCGGUCAAGGAUGGACUCGCGGCCUAUCAGCUAGUUGGUGAGGUAAUGGCUCACCAAGGCGACGACAGGUAGCCGGCCUGAGAGGGUGACCGGCCACACGGGGACUGAGACACGGCCCAGACUCCUACGGGAGGCAGCAGUGGGGAAUAUUGCACAAUGGGCGCAAGCCUGAUGCAGCAACGCCGCGUGAGGGAUGACGGCCUUCGGGUUGUAAACCUCUUUUAGUAGGGAAGAAGCGAAAGUGACGGUACCUGCAGAAAAAGCACCGGCUAACUAUGUGCCAGCAGCCGCAGUAA
rnacentral:rRNA from 1 species